rnacentral:lncRNA from 1 species
AGUGUGGUUUUGUUUUCUGCCUGUCUCAUUGUCUUUGGCCGGGAUGGGGUGGACUCGAGGUUUUUGCUUGUCAUGUAGUUUAUUUUUGGAGUUUUGCGGGAUGGCAGGGGUUGUGGGGUUUCUCUGUGUCGCAACCCUCUUGCCGUUGAGCCGUGCUGUCUUGUUGACUGUCGGAUGUUUGGAGAGGUCAUGUGGGACAGCAGUGUGGUUAUGCUCACUAUCAUUAUUGUUUGAAUGUCGUCUUUCUUGGUUGGUCGCACGUUGAGCUGCUUGUAAGUGUUGUAAACGUGCCUCUACAUUAUUUUUUAUGAUUGUUAUGAAACUUCUUGUGUAUCCAUGCUUUAUUGCUUGCUGGGUUACUUAUUGUAGUUCUUCCUCAUAAGUCUGCUAAUUCUGAACAGUAGAUGUAAGCUCUUCUUAUAUAUGAUCGGAAGGCAGCUUUUUUGAAUUUGAAGGGGUCAUCAGACCAUGAUGGUAUAAAUACUAGUGCAAACAUGGGCA